rnacentral:rRNA from 1 species
UACGUAGGGAGCAAGCGUUGUUCGGAUUUACUGGGCGUAAAGGGCGCGUAGGCGGUUUGUCGCGUCGGGAGUGAAAUCCACUGGCUUAACUGGUGGCUUGCUUUCGAUACGGGCAGACUGGAGGUAUGCAGGGGAGAACGGAAUUCUUGGUGUAGCGGUGAAAUGCGCAGAUAUCAGGAGGAACACCGGUGGCGAAGGCGGUUCUCUGGGCAUGUCCUGACGCUGAGGAGCGAAAGUGUGGGGAGCAAACAGG